rfam:Perkinsus marinus ATCC 50983 gcontig_1104296631058, whole genome shotgun sequence.
GACAGUUUGGCCGAGUGGUCUAAGGCGCUGGCUUCAGGCGUCAGUCCGCAAGGGCCGCCCUUGAAGGGCGUGGGUUCGAAUCCCACAGCUGUUA